rnacentral:rRNA from 1 species
UACGAACCGUACGAACGUUAUUCGGAAUUACUGGGCUUAAAGGGUUUGUAGGCGGCCUUGUAAGUCAGGUGUGAAAUCCCUCGGCUCAACCGAGGAAUGGCGCUUGAUACUGCAAGGCUUGAGGGAGACAGGGGUAAGCGGAACUGAUGGUGGAGCGGUGAAAUGCGUUGAUAUCAUCAGGAACACCGGUGGCGAAAGCGGCUUACUGGGUCUCUUCUGACGCUGAGGAACGAAAGCUAGGGGAGCGAACGGG